UGUGCAAGGAGCAGUGAGGGGACUGCAAAGAGGUGGCUUUGGAUUCAGGUUUAAAUGCCUUUGACCACUGAAACAGCACCCAAGAUCAGUGAUGGGGAGACGCCCAGUGCUAUGGUUUGAAUAUCGCUGCAGAACUCAAGUUGAAAUUCAAUUGGCAUUGUCAUCAUAAUAAGAGAUUUCAUUUCCUCCCCUGGUGAUGGGUGGCCAACAGAGAUGUUUCCUUCCAUGUGCCAAGAGUUCCACCACUGCAAGCUCACCGUAUUUGAUGAGAAGUUUUGCCUUUUCUUCUUGGAACUAACAGGGGAAGGGAAAAGACUGUCUGUGGAGGUGAGAAUAUUGAGACAGAAGAGGCCUUGGUUUGAAGGUGGGAGGAAUUCUGGAUGGCAACAUUGGAACCAGCUCUGAACACAUCCCUGAGGAUGAACAACUCAGGACACAGGAAGACUUGGUAAUUAGGAAAGCAUCCAUCUCCUGCUGAGCAGGGACCUAGAAACAGGGAAUGGCUUGGGGUGUUGAGGUGCAUGCACUUCCUUGGUGGGAGAAAAAUGGAAGACAUGUCACUCCUCCACAUUUGCCCUGAAAUGCAGAGAAUACAGUCUUUCAUUGAGCUAGG